rnacentral:tRNA from 1 species
GAGGCUGUGGCUCAGUGGUAGAGCAUUCGCCUAGCUUGUGUAAGGAACUGGAUUCGAUCCUCAGCACCACA